UACGGGGGGUGCAAGCGUUACUCGGAAUCACUGGGCGUAAAGAGCAUGUAGGCGGAUUAAUAAGUUGGAAGUGAAAUCCUAUAGCUUAACUAUAGAACUGCUUCCAAAACUGUUGAUCUAGAAUAUGGGAGAGGUAGAUGGAAUUUCUGGUGUAGGGGUAAAAUCCGUAGAGAUCAGAAGGAAUACCGAUUGCGAAGGCGAUCUACUGGAACAUUAUUGACGCUCAGAUGCGAAAGCGUGGGGAGCAAACAGGAUUAGAUACCCUGGUAGUCCACGCCCUAAACGAUGUACACUAGUUGUUGCUAUACUAGAUAUGGCAGUAAUGCAGUUAACACAUUAAGUGUACCGCCUGGGGAGUACGGUCGCAAGAUUAAAACUCAAAGGAAUAGACGGGGACCCGCACAAGCGGUGGAGCAUGUGGUUUAAUUCGACGAUACGCGAAAAACCUUACCUGGCCUUGACAUAGUAAGAACUUUCUAGAGAUAGAUUGGUGCUAGCUUGCUAGAGCUUACAUACAGGUGCUGCACGGCUGUCGUCAGCUCGUGUCGUGAGAUGUUGGGUUAAGUCCCGCAACGAGCGCAACCCACGUGAUUAGUUGCUAACGGUUCGGCCGAGAACUCUAAUCAGACUGCCUUCGUAAGGAGGAGGAAGGUGUGGACGACGUCAAGUCAUCAUGGCCCUUACGGCCAGGGCUACACACGUGCUACAAUGGGAUAUACAAAGAGCAGCAAUACCGCGAGGUGGAGCAAAUCUAGAAAAUAUCUCCCAGUUCGGAUUGUUCUCUGCAACUCGAGAACAUGAAGUUGGAAUCGCUAGUAAUCGUAGAUCAGCAUUGCUACGGUGAAUACGUUCCCGGGUCU
rnacentral:rRNA from 1 species